rnacentral:rRNA from 1 species
GAUGAACGCUGGCGGCGUGCCUAAUACAUGCAAGUCGAGCGAACAGACGAGUAGCUUGCUCCUCUGACGUUAGCGGCGGACGGGUGAGUAACACGGGGAUAACCUACCUAUAAUACUGGGAUAACUUCGGGAAACCGGAGCUAAUACCGUAUAAUAUAUUGAACCGCAUGGUUCAAUAGUGAAAGACGGUUUUGCUGGAACUUAUAGAUGGAUACUCGCCGCUUUAGGUAGUUGGUAAGGUAAUCGCUUACCAAGGGAACGACUCGCAGGCGACGUGAGAGGGUGAUCGCCCACCUGGGAACGGAGACACGGACCUGGGGCCUACGGGAGGCAGCAGAAGGGAACCUUACGCAGUGGUCGAAAGCCUGACGGAGCAACGCCGAGUGAGUGAUGACGGUCUUGGGUGCGUAAUACCCUGUUAUUAGGGAAGAACAAAUGUGUCAGUAGCUAUGCCCGUCUUGACGGUACCUAAUCAGAAAGCCACGGCUAACUACGUG